CCUACGGGUGGCAGCAGUGGGGGAUAUUGCACAAUGGGGGGAACCCUGAUGCAGCGACGCCGCGUGGGUGAAGGAGUGCUUCGGCAUGUAAAGCCCUAUCGGCAGGGAAGAAGCAAGACGGUACCUGACUAAGAAGCCCCGGCUAACUAUGUGCCAGCAGCCGCGGCAAUACGUAGGGGGGCAGCGUUAUCCGGAUUCACUGGGUGUAAAGGGAGCGUAGACGGGCAUGCAAGCCAGGGGUGAAAGCCCGGGGCCCAACCCCGGGACUGCCCUUGGAACUGCAUGGCUGGAGUGCGGGAGAGGCAAGCGGAAUUCCAGGUGUAGGGGUGAAAGGCGUAGAUAUCAGGAGGAACACCAGCGGCGAAGGCGACCUGCUGGACCGCGACUGACGUUGAGGAGCGAAAGCGUGGGGAGCGAACAGGAGUAGAUACCCUUGUAGUC
rnacentral:rRNA from 1 species